CCAGAAAGGGACGGCUAANUACGUGCCAGCAGCCGCGGUAAUACGUAGGUCCCGAGCGUUGUCCGGAUUUAUUGGGCGUAAAAGGAGCGCAGGCGGUCAGGAAAGUCUGGAGUAAAAGGCUAUGGNUCAACCAUAGUGUGCUCUGGAAACUNUCUGACUUGAGUGCAGAAGGGGAGAGUGGAAUUCCAUGUGUAGCGGUGAAAUGCGUAGAUAUAUGGAGGAACACCAGUGGCGAAAGCGGCUCUCUGGUCUGUCACUGACGCUGAGGCUCGAAAGCGUGGGUAGCGAACAGGAUUAGAUACCCUGGUAGUCCACGCCGUAAACGAUGAGUGCUAGGUGUUAGGCCCUUUCCGGGGCUUAGUGCCGGAGCUAACGCAAUAAGCACUCCGCCUGGGGAGUACGACCGCAAGGUUGAAACUCAAAGGAAUUGACGGGGGCCCGCACAAGCGGUGGAGCAUGUGGUUUAAUUCGAAGCAACGCGAAGAACCUUACCAGGUCUUGACAUCCCGAUGCUAUUCUUAGAGAUAGGAAGUUACUUCGGUACAUCGGAGACAGGUGGUGCAUGGUUGUCGUCAGCUCGUGUCGUGAGAUGUUGGGUUAAGUCCCGCAACGAGCGCAACCCUUAUUGUUAGUUGCCAUCAUUAAGUUGGGCACUCUAGCGAGACUGCCGGUAAUAAACCGGAGGAAGGUGGGGAUGACGUCAAAUCAUCAUGCCCCUUAUGACCUGGGCUACACACGUGCUACAAUGGUCGGUACAACGAGUUGCGAGCCGGUGACGGCAAGCUAAUCUCUGAAAGCCGAUCUCAGUUCGGAUUGGAGGCUGCAACUCGCCUCCAUGAAGUCGGAAUCGCUAGUAAUCGCGGAUCAGCACGCCGCGGUGAAUACGUUCCCGGGCCUUGUACACACCGCCCGUCACACCACGAGAGUUUGUAACACCCGAAGUCGGUGAGGUAACCUUCUAGGG
rnacentral:rRNA from 1 species